rnacentral:rRNA from 1 species
GCAGGCUCAACACAUGCAAGUCGAGCGGUACAGGGAAUAGCUUGCUAUUUGCUGACGAGCGGCGGACGGGUGAGUAAUGCUUGGGAAUAUGCCUUAUGGUGGGGGACAACAGUUGGAAACGACUGCUAAUACCGCAUAAUGUCUACGGACCAAAGGGGGGGAUCUUCGGACCUCUCGCCAUUUGAUUAGCCCAAGUGAGAUUAGCUAGUUGGUAAGGUAAUGGCUUACCAAGGCGACGAUCUCUAGCUGGUUUGAGAGGAUGAUCAGCCACACUGGGACUGAGACACGGCCCAGACUCCUACGGGAGGCAGCAGUGGGGAAUAUUGCACAAUGGGGGAAACCCUGAUGCAGCCAUGCCGCGUGUGUGAAGAAGGCCUUCGGGUUGUAAAGCACUUUCAGUUGUGAGGAAAGGUGUGUAGUUAAUAGCUGCAUACUGUGACGUUAACAACAGAAGAAGCACCGGCUAACUUCGUGCCAGCAGCCGCGGUAAUACGAGGGGUGCAAGCGUUAAUCGGAAUUACUGGGCGUAAAGCGUUCGUAGGCGGUUGAAUAAGCAAGAUGUGAAAGCCCAGGGCUCAACCUUGGAACUGCAUUUUGAACUGUUCGACUAGAGUACUGU